UAACAACUGCCUCCUCCUAUCAUGAUGAGAGAUGAGCUCUCGAAACCAAGACUUCAUAACCCGGCAAGAAAAGGCCAAAACUGAACCUCGUAAGAUACUUCCGAAUGCGGCGAAGACGAAGCGUCAUGGAGCGCCUAGAUAAAAGUCUUAAAGAAGCAAUCCAAACACACCCGAUUCGGAAAUGCAAAGACAAGGAGAAAAACCUAACCAUCUCGAGGAACAAGGAUCAUGAAAUUAAGCACGACACUCAGACCGAAAUGGUAAUCAUCCACAACGUCCUCCACCAAAGAGAAGACAAUUUUGAAAACCUAGAACGAUGCACAAUCCUUCACACAAAAAACCUCCACAAAGAACAGAGACGAUCCAAACGAGAGACUGCUAGCUAAAACAACACAAGGAAGUGACAACGGAAAGACAAAGGCAUGAAGAAGACUGACGAGAGACCUCACAUCAGCUAAGCCGGCGGCAUCAAAACAACAAAAAGCACAAGAGCGAGAACAAGGUCUGGGUUGGGAAGAGCAAGAAACAAUGGCACUAUUACAGACAAAGCUCAC
rnacentral:lncRNA from 1 species